rnacentral:rRNA from 1 species
AUGCUCGUCCGUGCCCGCUGCGCCUACUGCUGCUCGCCGCGCCCGCUUCUCGUCGCUCCUGUUGCUAGCCGCGCUCGCUGCUCGACGCCGUUGGUGCUCGCCGCACCCGCCACUGCUGCUCGCCGCGCCCGCUGCUCGACGCCGUUGUUGCUCGCCCCGCCCGCCACUGCUGCUCGUCGCGCCCGCUGCUCGUUGUGCCUGCUGCUCGCCGCACCUGUUGCCGCUGUUCGAGCCACCAUGGCUGAGGCAGAGGUUGCCGCCGCCGUCGUUGCCGCGCGGAGGUUGUGCCCGAGGCCACCAACGCUUGACCUGCCCCACCAGGGAGCACAGAUACAAGGUACGGAAGGUAGCGGUGGCUCUGUUCUUGCCGGAUCCAGACGAGGGCGGGCUAAUGGCGGCGACGGGGUGCGAAGGUCGCGGCAGGGGCCGCCGCCCGUCCCUGUUCUUGCGGGAUCUGGGCUCGAAUUGGAGCGGAGGAGCACGAAUCUGAGGUGCGGAAGGGGGCAGCGGCUCGAUUUUUGCCGGAUCCAGGCGAGGGCUGGUUAA